rnacentral:rRNA from 1 species
GCAGCAGCCGCGGUAAUACAGAGGAUGCAAGCGUUAUCCGGAAUGAUUGGGCGUAAAGCGUCUGUAGGUGGCUUUUCAAGUCCGCCGUCAAAUCCCAGGGCUCAACCCUGGACAGGCGGUGGAAACUACCAAGCUGGAGUACGGUAGGGGCAGAGGGAAUUUCCAGUGGAGCGGUGAAAUGCGUUGAGAUGUGGAGGGACACCAGUGGCGAAGGCGACUCUCUGGUCUGUAACUAACGCUGAGGAGCGAAAGCGUGGGGAGCGAACAGGAUUAGAUACCCGUGUAGUCCCUGUCUCUUAUAC